CGAUUUUCUAAGUAGCGGCGAGCGAAAGGAAAAGAGCCUAACUCAUUAGUGAUUUGGUAAUGUUAGUCAAAUUAUCUGAAAAGAUAAACCAAAGAAAGUGAAAGUCUUGUAGACGAAAGCAUUACUAAACGAGAGGGAAAGUAUCACCGGGCACGAGUAACCCGGUGUGAAGAUAGGGGGCCCAUCCCCUAAGGCUAAAUACUAACAUGUGACCGAUAGUGAACAAGUACCGUGAGGGAAAGGUGA
rnacentral:rRNA from 1 species